GACGAAAGCUGGCGGCGUGCUUAACACAUGCAAGUCGAACGGUAAGGCCCUUCGGGGUACACGAGUGGCGAACGGGUGAGUAACACGUGGGUGAUCUGCCCUGCACUUCGGGAUAAGCCUGGGAAACUGGGUCUAAUACCGGAUAGGACCCUGGGAUGCAUGUCCUGGGGUGGAAAGCUUUUGCGGUGUGGGAUGGGCCCGCGGCCUAUCAGCUUGUUGGUGGGGUGAUGGCCUACCAAGGCGACGACGGGUAGCCGGCCUGAGAGGGUGACCGGCCACACUGGGACUGAGAUACGGCCCAGACUCCUACGGGAGGCAGCAGUGGGGAAUAUUGCACGAGGGGCGCAAGCCUGAUGCAGCGACGCCGCGUGAGGGAUGACGGCCUUCGGGUUGUAAACCUCUUUCAGCACCGACGAAGCGCAAGUGACGGUAGGUGCAGAAGAAGGACCGGCCAACUACGUGCCAGCCGCCGCAGUAACAC
rnacentral:rRNA from 1 species